AGCGAACGCUAGCGGCGGGCCUAACACAUGCAAGUCGAGCGCAUACCUUCGGGUAUGAGCGGCGGACGGGUGAGUAACGCGUAGGUCAUCUACCCUUUGGUGGGGGAUAACCCAGGGAAACUUGGGCUAAUACCGCAUGAGGUCCACGGAUCAAAGCCUUCGGGCGCCAGAGGAUGAGCCUGCGUCGCAUUACCUAGUUGGCGGGGUAACGGCCCACCAAGGGGACGAUGCGUAGCUGGUCUGAGAGGAUGAUCAGCCACACUGGGACUGAGACACGGCCCAGACUCCUACGGGAGGCAGCAGUGGGGAAUAUUGCGCAAUGGGGGAAACCCUGACGCAGCCACGCCGCGUGGGUGAUGAAGGCCUUCGGGUUGUAAAGCCCUGUCGGGAGGGACGGAAUUCUUGACGGUACCUCCAAAGAAAGCACCGGCUAACUCCGUGCCAGCAGCCGCGGUAAU
rnacentral:rRNA from 1 species